rnacentral:tRNA from 1 species
GUUGUGGCUCAGUGGUAGAAUGCUCAUCUAGCAUGUAUGAGGCACUGGGUUCAAUUCUCAGCACCACA